GAGGGUAUAGCUCAGUGGUUAGAGUGCAUGCUUAGCACACAUGAGGUCGUGGGUUCAAUCCCCAGUACCUCCA
rnacentral:tRNA from 1 species